rnacentral:lncRNA from 1 species
CCUCCAUAGUUGAGCUAUUCCAGUCCAUCCAAUUUCAUUCAUCCCAAAUCCCAACCAAAAACAACAAUUAAUGACGCAAUCUCAAUUACAAAGCAGCAUGCUGCUAUCCUAGAUCUUAUUAACAAUUCAACAUCGAAAUAAUCCCAGAGCUCAUCCGGAGAAUCAUGUUUCUCCAUUUCAUAGCUCACAUCAAUGACAACUUUUAGACAAAUAUUCAUUAAGGAAGCUCACAACACUAACUCAAUGCCAGUGCUGAAAUGGAGUCAUCGGAAAGAUUUAAAAACACCAAACAGCAGGGGAAUGACGAUGAAAGCUAAACACAUUUACAGUAAUUAUGAUUACAAGCUUACCAUCUUUUUACACAUACUAAUGAGCUCAGCAUGUACAGUUCAGCCAACCAUAAGUGAUGAGGCUUUCAGAUGUCACAUAAGAGGGCAAGGGNAUGAGGCUUUCAGAUGUCACAUAAGAGGGCAAGGGAAAAAAAAAAAAAGCAACCAACUAUACCAAGUUUACACCCUCUCAAUCAAAAUCUUUUAUGUACUGGCUAAACUACACAGGAAGCACAUUUCAAAGGCCCCAACUCCAACUC